UACGUAGGCAGCAAGCGUUGUUCGGAGUUACUGGGCGUAAAGGGUGUGUAGGCGGUUUUUUAAGUUUGGUGUGAAAUCUCCCGGCUCAACUGGGAGGGUGCGCCGAAUACUGAGGGACUAGAGUACGGGAGAGGAAAGUGGAAUUCCUGGUGUAGCGGUGAAAUGCGUAGAUAUCAGGAGGAACACCGGUGGUGUAGACGGCUUUCUGGACCGUAACUGACGCUGAGACACGAAAGCGUGGGUAGCAAACAGG
rnacentral:rRNA from 1 species